CAUGCCUCACCCCUUUGGCACCAAAGCUACAGUCUCGCCUUGCCCGUGCUGCUGACCCCAAGGAUGUCCUAGAUUUAGUGCCUGACACACCUCCACUUGAAGAUAUGGUAGACAUUGGCAGCGGCCUGUACAUACGACAGGACAUGUGGGAACGUGUGAGUGCCCAGCAGAAGGACUCCUUGUUCGUGAAAGAGCUCCUCAUGUGCAUUUGGGACAAGGAGGAUCUGAGGGAGAGGUCUUUGCAGGGCAAGCAAUGCCCUCGCUUCCCUGACAGGGCUCCUAAGACACCCCUCACACCUUGG